rnacentral:rRNA from 1 species
GACGAACGCUGGCGGCGGGCUUAACACAUGCAAGUCGAACGGAAAGGCCCUGCUUGCAGGGUGCUCGAGUGGCGAACGGGUGAGUAACACGUGGGUGAUCGGCUGCUUACGGUGGGAUAAGCCUGGGAAACGGGGCCUAAUACGGGAUAGGACCAUGCGGGAGGGGGGGGGGUGGUAAGAUUAGUUUCGGUCAGGUUUGAGCUCGCGGCCUAUCAGCUUGUUGGUGGGGUAAUGUCCUACCAAGGCGUCUACGGGUAUCCGGUCUGAGGGGGUGGACGGCCCGAUUCGGACUGCGACGCGGCCCAGCCUCCUGCGAGAGGCGGCAGUGGGGGAUAUCGCACACUGGGCGCACGCCUGAUGCAGAGACGCUGCGUGGGGGGUGACGGCCUUCGGGUUGUGAGCUCCUUCCGGACGUGACGACGUCCUUGUGGUGACGUUAGUGGCAGAAGAAGCACCGGCUAACUACGUG